GGCUAGCUUGGUCAGCAGAUCAUGAGAUUCUUAAUCUCAGGGUUAUGGAUUCAAGUCCCAUGUUGGGUG
rnacentral:tRNA from 1 species